UAAGGGGUGCGCGCGGUGGUACCCGUGGGCGGCGACCGGAGAGGUGGGCCGCAAGCGCGAUGGGACGGGGGGCGUGAUGGGACGACCGAACGACGGGGGUGUGCGAGUUUGGGAGACGAGUUGGGGCCACGAGAGAGGAGUGGAGCAGCAGCAGUGCCGCCCGUGGCACAUCUAGACCCCGAAUUAAACGACGUCUAGGGUCCUCGCUGCCCCGAAUUGGACGACGUCUGCCCCUUCUGUCCCGCCCGCGGCACUGCCUCGUGAGGGAUCUCCGCGACCACGAAUGGAGAGCACCUUCGAAAGUCCCAACCCUAGGGCCGCUCGCUGCAGUAGUCGAGGCCGUGAAUGGAGCUGAGGGUCCAAGGGCAAGGAGGAACGUUUUUCUCUCUGAACUGAUCUCAUAGUGGACAAUUAGAAAGUGGAAAAAACAGGGUAGGAGGAUCUACUCGUACCGUCUUCUUUCACUGCUCUAACGAUGAUUCUGUUCCGACAACAGUGAACUUGACAACGUCCCUAACAAUGUGAACGCGGGCACGUAUGCACGAGUACACGGAGGUACACACCGAGAGAUUAGUCUAGGUUGGUGACGGAGGGAUAUGUCGUCCCCGGUUUGAUACGCGGCGGGAUGCGUAUCAGCCUAGAGAUUAGUCUACUCGACGGAGGUGAUAAUAGACCGUUAGACCUAUCGAUUUAUACAAUAUAUCGCCGGAGAUACUAAAUCCUGCAGGAGAAAAAGCCCUUUACUAAGUUCCGUAGACUUUGUACACCUCUUUGUAUAUAUCGUAAUCUAUUAAUUAGAGUGCCAACCAGUAUAAUACUACGAGUCAUUUGAAUUUAUUCAAUAUGUCAAUUGAAAAUACAGAAACAGCACGAAGGGUCUUUUCUAUUACCAUUAGCGUUAUUAUACGGUGAUAAAUACUUCUUUUUGUGAACAUACAUGACAUAAACGUCGUGAGUCAACGUACCAAGAGAACCAAGAAAUUUUAUAUAUCCAAUUGAACUCGAUUAAAGAAUCGUACACAUACUCGUAUCAAUGCUCCGUAGGUUUCGUUCCUCUCCAAUUAAAGAAUCGUACACAUACUCGUAUCAAUGCUUACAUACCCUACUUGUCUUGUUAAAGGUUAAACUGGGCAUAAACCAGUGUGUUCCAAUCGAAAAGAUAUCGAAAAUAACUACUUAAACUUUUAAUAUACUCUUUUUAUCCGCUUACAUACGAAGAAAUUACGAAGAAAUUAGUACGUAUAACUAAUAUUGUCAGAAUACGAUAAACUUGGAAAAGUGAUACGAAACAUGUAUAUUGAAUAUGAUACGCGUUUAUAUAACAAAGGUACAUUCUUUUUUACUAUUUAUUUUUAAUUCAGUUUUUUAUGUAUGUUACGGAAGACUUAGACUCGUUAUAGGGGUGUUAAAAAAAGACAUAGUGUUUCUCUGGUGGUACUACUCAUACACAAGGUUACUCGUUCACCACGAUCGCAUUGAGUACUUAUUCCCUUGUGAUAUAGUUCCGACACUUCUUCCGAUGGUAGCUCUGUUUCUCGCUCGUGGGGUUCCCAAUUACGCACCGCAUCUUCCAAUAGUUUUCUUGAUACAGUAAAAAAAUUUAAUUAAAGGAUCUAUUCAUGUGAGCGUGUACGUAGAAACGCUGUUUUAUUUUUGACGUGAUGAGAGAGAGAGAGAGUAGAUUACAAUAGUCUUCAUGAUUAACACCUAAAGUAGCGAUAAAAGAGGUUUUUGAGAUAAAUCAUAGGGAAGGUUACAUUCAAAUAAUGAUACACUAAUCUCUUUAUUUCUCCAUAUACGCGUAUGACAUUCUAGUACUAGUCACCACAUGUCUUUAGGAUACUUCACUUUAUGUGUUGCAUAAAAUAUAUAUGACAGACACCAAUUUAAGGUUACAUACAUAUAAUUCUAUAAACAAUCUUCACAGUAAUUACGUUUGGUAACACGACAUUAUGAAGUGCGUCCUAUAGAUUUCCCUUGAGAAAAUUUAAUACCAGAAUAAGAUGUUGAUACUAAUUCCCUCAUACGUGCCCAACUACUUUUACAGCGUGUUAAUUAAGAUACAACAUAGUGGGUUACCUGUCGUCGAAGGAACUGAAAUAAAACAAGAGUAGAUCACCGUACCAUAAGACGGUACAAGGGAACAGAAAUACAUGUCAAAGCUACAGGUCACUUUUCUGGUUUAGUAAAUGAAUCAGCGAGAACCGGACAAGACGAUAGUACCAAAAUGACUACAAGUGUAAGGUUUAAUUGUUAAUCAACGAUCACCCACAACAGGAACGACUUUACGAGUGAAAUACCUAAGGUUUCGAAGAAACAAAUGUAGACUCGCAACCUCACGAAGGUUAAUUUCCUGAACAUAAUAAUACGUACCGAUUAAUUAUGUGAAGAUAUUGAUACCUUAAAACUAUAAACAACAUGAUUUUGAGGUGAUACUGUUGGCCACGUGUUGUUGUUGAAACAUUAGGUACACGUCGAAGAUCCAAGGCCGAAACAUCACACGUAGUAUAGAUCGAUUUUUUACAUUACUACACUUUGAUACAAUCUAGAACGACCACACGACGAACAGUUGGAACGAUACAACAACAGACGACUUAAGACCCACAUGUAGCUGCGUUUACUUGUACCUUUGUUGAAGUCUUGAUAAGAAGUGUAAAAAAAAUGAUUUUUAAGCUUGGUGACUUGUACUAGUGAAGGUAUAGAGACUUUACUCUUAAAUGAGUUCAAAGAUAAGACGAUCGCUAUCAAAACAACAGUACAAGUAUAUUCUUUUACGGUUUAUGUUUACCGGAAGUAAUCGUAAUGAUAUAAUCGUUGUGUUAUACAUCAUCGUUUGGGGUUGUAUUUACUAUAGAAAUCAAGGAUACUGUCUAUAUCUACCUAAUAAUCAAGUAUUUCGUUCGCUAUGUCGUUUUUUGAUUCACAAUACAUAAACACUUAGUCUUUUUCCACUUGAGAGAGAGAGAGAGAGAGAGAGAGAGAGAGAAAGAGAGAGAAAGAGAGAGAGAUCCCAGAGAACUUGUAUAAGUGAAGAAGGACGUACUAAAGAGAGGGGAAAAAUCUAAAUAAAAACACAAACGGUUGAAGCAUCAAAAUGAAUAUAAGGUCACUCGAGACAAGAUAUGACCACAUCAAUACAAACAUUACAAAAAAGAGGAACACACGACUAAAACGUUACCAUUAACCAAAGACAUGAGACGUUCGGAGUACUAUGAUUAACUUUAUAGGAAAUAGUACAACGUCUACGAAUCGUUUACGAAAGCGACGAUGGACAAGAAUUAGUCAACGAUGAAAAAGAAUUAGUAGGCUAAAGAAUGAGGAAAGUAAAUACAUCCUUAUCGUACAUCCAUCAAUAGGGGGUACCCGUGUAUCUGGUCCUAUGUAACAUAGAGUCCUAUAUCCUUUGUGUUUUCUCCACACGAUUUCUACAAGUUCGACCUCUUACAAGAGGUUACCCUACUUCUUGCUUCCGAAACUACAGUUCACGCUCUUACUACUUUGCUAGAACGACCUUUCGACACUCCUACCCAUCAUCAACGGGUGAUGUUCCUCGGUUCCGUCUACUACAAAACGUCUUUUGUUUCACUACUUGAAAACGAGAGUCUGUUACUUGAUAGUUCAAAGGAGAUAAAUUAAUCAAUGUAAUCAAAUAAAUAUCGUUUGAACCGACGAGUAACCAAGUAUUGUUUACUUGAUAAAUAUACACUUUUAAUUACUUACACAUACUGAUAACAAACCAAGACCAAAUUA
rnacentral:rRNA from 1 species